CCCACCAAAACUGCAAAGAAGAACGCGGCGUGACGUUCCUGCAUAGCAACUCAUUUAAAAUUCCAGUUUCGGUGUUAUUCAAAGAAAAGAGGGGAAAACGCCUUUGAAGAGAUGCAGAUAAUAAACUUUCUAAAAGUGACAACAUGGUGAUGGUCAGCAGACGAACUCUGGACAGGAUUUAUUCGGCGGUUUUCUUUGCCGUUGUGCUACUGUCAUGGUCAUACGUCAUCUACGCCGGCAGGGUCGCAGCUCAUUGGCUGCUGGAAAAGAGGACCAAGACUUUGCCCCAUGAUUGACAGGGGGGCCGUGGUUCAAAGGUCCCUCACAUCGAGCUGGCCUGGCAGGGACGACCCCAGUUCUCGCUCUUUGGCCAUCUCUGCAGGGACGCUCUUGCUCUCCAAUUCCUUAGAGGUCUUCCCGUCCAGCCAAUACGUCACCAUGUCACCCUUCCCCUGACAAGGAGACACUCGUCAUCAGCGGCCAUCGGGAUCCGAGCGGAGCCGGCACCACUGACCUUGACCUGCAGCGUUCCUCGGCAAACCAGCACGUAGCCGCCGAUCUCCUCCAGCAGACGUCUCCAGCCAGCGUCGGCUCCACGUCGCCGUUUUGAAACUCGGGAGCCAUGUACACUUCCUGGACUCUCUGCUGAUAGGUGGAGAGAGGCUCCGCCCCUUCCCCGCGGCGAUACACCCGGAGCCCGUAAUCUGCCGGGACAACGGGGGGUGGCGCACCGGUCAAAGGAGGCCGCAGGACCCACGCCAUCUCCAGACCUGCGUGCCGACACGCCGGCGGCAGCGUUACCACCGCCAGCCCUGGACGUGAUCAAGACUCUCACCUCCGCAACUGAUCAUGUUGGAGUCGUUGGGGCGCUCCAGAGGCCAGCAGUCGUACUCGCUGUUGUCAAGAUCGUGCCAGGAGGACGCAGGACGAGAUGGAGGCGGGCGGUGCAAUGGCUCACCCAGAUCAUAUAGCAGAGGUUGCCCUUCAUGACGAAUCAAACUAGACCAGGACGGAAGAGGACGCACUGUCGUCGACGGAGCCAGGAUGGAGCAAUUCAAGGAGGGCGUAGCAGACCGGACCAAAAUGCAGUAGGAUGUGCGCAGCGGUUGGAGGACUGAGUCCAGACUGAAUGUUGCGCAGCAGGUGCUCACUUUUUGGACCUUUUGAACAUUAAGCAGUUGGGGAAAGGUCGCCCUCUGCUGCAGGACAGUGGUACUACAUCUUGAGUGUCUCUCUCUCUCUCUCUCUCUCUCUCUCUCUCUCUCUCUCUCUCUCUCUCUCGCCCCUCCACGUAUAUAUUUUAGACUGGUCUUUUUUGCCCUUCUGUGUAUACAUCAUGUCAUUUUUACUCUGACUGUACUACAAAACAAUCUGUGUUUACAGACAUGUCUUAGUACACAUCAUGGCAUUAAAAAA